rnacentral:rRNA from 1 species
UACGUAGGUGGCAAGCGUUGUCCGGAAUUAUUGGGCGUAAAGCGCGCGCAGGCGGUCAAUUAAGUCUGGUGUAUAAACCAAGGGCUCAACCUUUGGACGCAUUGGAAACUGGUUGACUGGAGUGUAGGAGAGGAAAGUGGAAUCCCACGUGUAGCGGUGAAAUGCGUAGAGAUGUGGAGGAACACCAGUGGCGAAGGCGACUUUCUGGCCUAUAACUGACGCUGAGGCGCGAAAGCGUGGGGAGCAAACAGG